rnacentral:rRNA from 1 species
AGCAGCCGCGGUAAUUCCAGCUCCAAUAGCGUAUAUUGAAGUUGUUGCAGUUAAAAAGCUCGUAGUUGAAUUUCGGGGUUAGUAGGUUGGUCAUGCCUCUGGUAUGUACUGGUCUCACUGAUUCCUCCUUCCUUAUGAACCGUAAUGCCAUUAAUUUGGUGUUGCGGGGAAUUUGGACUGUUACUUUGAAAAAAUUAGAGUGUUUAAAGCAAGCUAACGCUUGAAUACAUUAGCAUGGAAUAAUGAAAUAGGACGUUCGAUCUUAUUUUGUUGGUUUCUAGGAUUGACGUAAUGAUUAAUAGGGAUAGUUGGGGGCAUUAGUAUUCAAUUGUCAGAGGUGAAAUUCUUGGAUUUAUUGAAGACUAACUACUGCGAAAGCAUUUGCCAAGGAUGUUUUCAUUAAUCAAGAACGAAAGUUAGGGGAUCGAAGACGAUCAGAUACCGUCGUAGUCUUAACCAUAAACUAUGCCGACUAGGGAUCGGAUGAUGUUAAUUUUUUAAUGACUCA